rnacentral:tRNA from 1 species
GCGAGAUUGGCGGAAUUGGCAGACGCACCAGACUUAGGAUCUGGCGGGGCAACUCGUGGGAGUUCAAGUCUCCCAUCUCGCACCA